rnacentral:pre_miRNA from 2 species
CAGAAGCUGGUGAGCCACUGACUAACGCACAUUGUGCUGUUAAAGAAUCCACUGUGCGUGUGACAGCGGCUAACCAGCUUUUCGGCC